CCCGCAUCAAGAGCGGUGGAGGGAACUGGCCCAGCGAAGCCGCGGCAACCGGCGGGGGGCCCUUACCCCCGUGAGGUGCCAAUUCCAGCAGGUCUCCCCGAGGGGGGCCUGAAAGAUGUGGG
rnacentral:ncRNA from 2 species